UCUAUAUACAUUCAGAUACAUUAUUUUCAAAGCCAAGGUUUUAAAAAAAUAGGUGUCUAAAUUCAGACACCUAAGUCUAUCUUUACAGUCUUUGGUUGCCUGAUUUUCAAACAUGUUAAUACUCAGAAACACUUUAUUUUCUGUUGAGUUGUCUCUUUUUGACAAAAAUUUACAUUGGGCCGGUUUUCAUCUAUUAGAAUCAGAAAAGGAAAAUUAAUGAUUUUAAAUUUUCAAAGCAUUUAAAGGCAUAAAGAAAAACUCCUAAAACUACGCAUCUUUUUGCAUAUUUAAUUGCAGAAAAUUAUGUGCAUUGGUACAAGGCACGUGAGUACAACCUAGCAGAUUCGUCCUUUCUCACUGAAUUUGACCUAAACCCCUUUUUUGCAGCAUUUGUCUUUUCUUCUUUAGGUUCACACCAAGGCCUCCCGUUUGAAAAAUGUAUGUGUGCUCCUGCACCUAAUGUAUAUGCAUAUUCAGUGUGACUGCAUAUGGAAAUGGAGCAUCCAUGCCAAGAGUUUUCCAGCCAAGAGGCUUUUUGCAUGUCGCCAGGUCUGCCUUAGAAAGGCACCGGAAGAAAGGAAGGAAAAUGAGGUUAUCCCAAAAAAUAAUCUACUACUAUUUGGUAAAGGUACAGGAAUAGAGAAUGAAGCAAUGUUUUAAUACUGGGAGUGGAAGCUGCAUGAAGUAAUCACCUGAACAUUUACUUCAUUCAUUAGUGCAAAGCAAAUGCUGAGUUGUGCAGAAGUCAAUGAAAAAUUUCCAUGGUUUUGCUGCAGGCUUUGCUGAAUGGCGCCACUUGUCCACAGAAGUGCUCUGGACCUCAAGCUCAGAGCCUCAGUGGUGCAGCUGGAGCUCUGCUUGUGGAAUCCAGCAAGGUCUGUCUGGGCGCUCCGCGGAGCAGCGCUCCCUCCGGAGCUGGAGGCAGAUGGUCGCUAGGGAGCCCCGUGCCAGGUCUGGGUGACAGGAGCGGAAAGGCAGGGACAGCCACAGCCGGAUGA
rnacentral:lncRNA from 1 species